rnacentral:misc_RNA from 1 species
GUAGGUGAACCUGCGGAAGGAUCAUUACUGUUUGCUAACGGCCUCUUGGGGGGAAACCUCCUCGAGGUACGGGCAACUUUACCCUUGUCUAUACAUACCUAAUGUUAUUUCCCUCGGCGGGGCAACCCGCCGCUGGGGACAUUCUAAACCCUUUGUAUUAAAGUAUCAAAACUUCUGAAAAAAACAAAUAAUUACAACUUUUAACAAUGGAUCUCUUGGUUCUG